rnacentral:lncRNA from 1 species
CAACGAAGGCCUCAAGGAGGUCUGAAUAUCCACUUGCAGACUUUACAAACAGAGUGUUUCCUAACUGCUCUAUGAAAAGAAAGGUUAAACUCUGUGAGUUGAACAAACACAUCACAACGCAGUUUGUGGGAAUGAUUCUGUCUAGUUUUGAAACGAAGAUAUUUCCUUUUCUGCCAUUGACCUUAAAGCGCUUGAAAUCUACACUUGCAAAUUGCACAAAUAGAGUGUUUCAAAUCUGCUCUGUCUAAGGGAACGUUCAACUCUGUGAGUUGAAUGCACACAACACAAGGAAGUUACUGGGAAUUCUUCUGUCUAGCCUUACAUGAGAAAAAACCGUUUCCAAAGAAGGCCUCUAAGUGGUCAAAAUAUCUACGUGCAGACUUUACAAACAGAGUGUUUCCAAACUGCUGAAUGAAAAGAAAAGUUAAACUCUGAGAGUUGAACGCACACAUCAUAAAGGAGUUUCUGAGAAUCAUUCUAUCUAGUUUUUAUACGAAGAUAUUUCCUUUUCUACCAUUUACCACAAAGCGGCUGAAAUCUCCACUUGCAAAUUCCAGAAAAAGAGUGUUUCAAGUCUGCUCUGUGUAAAGGAUCGUUCAACUCUGUGAGUUGAAUACACACAACACAAGGAAGUUACUGAGAAUUCUUCUGUCUAGCAUA